rnacentral:lncRNA from 1 species
CAUUUAUAAUGAAUUUGUAUUAAGGAAGAUGAGAGCACUUAAUUUUAUGCAAUAUUUUUAAGUCCUUUCUUUGCAGGCAAUCAUAGAACCGUUCUUCAAAGCAUCCAAAGUCACUGAAAGAUGACGAAAAUAUGAAGACUGUAAGCAGAUUGAUUUCUGAAGGCUUGCAGUAUAGAAGAAGCUGAAAAUGGGCAUGAGAGAGAACAAGAGGAAAUGCAACAUGGUACUUUCAAAACUAAUCAGUCGGGAGAAUUAUUGCAAACCUAGAUCUCUGCAGGGAGGAAACUGCACAGAAAGCAGUAAUGACUGAAAUGACCAGAGAUGACAGUGUAUAUAAAAAUGAGUGACUCAGGAAGAAGGGAAACUGAAUAAUGUGCAGGAUUCAAGCAGCAGCAGUAUUUGUGUAUAAGGAUGACUCCUCAACAAGCGUGUAAAAGACUGUUGUGGUUACCUCCCAUGGAUCUUUUCUAUCUAGCUGUGGCUGCGGAUGGCGGGGAGCAUGGUGUCACCUUUCCUAUCACAGGAAGAAGGACCAGGACAUAAACUAACAGCUGCCAGGGAAGGGCUGUGACCUAGACCUUACAUUAAAAGCUCUUCAAAAGGCAACAGCAUCAAGCAUGCUGUGGGAACAAAUAUUGUGAUGCAGCUGAAUGUCAUUGGGAAGCAAGGUACUGUAUAUCAGCCCUACAUAAUGAAUGCAAAUUGUAUUUUUAGGAUCCAAAUGGGAAAGCAUAAAAGGCUACAAAAGCUUUAAUUUAUGAUUUAUUCAUUUAAAGCUUCAGGCCAUUAAGUACCCAUUAAAUAACUAUUUUAUAUGCUGCUAAGUGCAUCUCUAUCGUCAGAAUAAAAAGAUUGUUUUAGUUCA